ACACUCCUGCGGGGGCAGCAGUGGGGAAUUUUGGACAAUGGGCGAAAGCCUGAUCCAGCAAUGCCGCGUGAGUGAAGAAGGCCUUCGGGUUGUAAAGCUCUUUUGUCAGGGAAGAAACGGUGAAAGCUAAUAUCUUUUGCUAAUGACGGUACCUGAAGAAUAAGCACCGGCUAACUACGUGCCAGCAGCCGCGGUAAUACGUAGGGUGCAAGCGUUAAUCGGAAUUACUGGGCGUAAAGCGUGCGCAGGCGGUUUUGUAAGUCUGAUGUGAAAUCCCCGGGCUCAACCUGGGAAUUGCAUUGGAGACUGCAAGGCUAGAAUCUGGCAGAGGGGGGUAGAAUUCCACGUGUAGCAGUGAAAUGCGUAGAUAUGUGGAGGAACACCGAUGGCGAAGGCAGCCCCCUGGGUCAAGAUUGACGCUCAUGCACGAAAGCGUGGGGAGCAAACAGGAUUAGAAACCCGGGUAGUCCCAUGAU
rnacentral:rRNA from 1 species